UACAGGGGGGGCAAGCGUUGUUCGGAAUUACUGGGCGUAAAGGGUCUGUAGGUGGCCAACUAAGUCAGACGUGAAAUCCCUCAGCUUAACUGGGGAACUGCGUCUGAUACUGGAUGGCUCGAGUGUGGGAGAGGAACGUAGAAUUCCAGGUGUAGCGGUGAAAUGCGUAGAUAUCCGGAGGAACACCGGUGGCGAAGGCGGCUUCCUGGACCGACACUGACGCUGAGGCGCGAAAGCUAGGGUAGCAAACGGG
rnacentral:rRNA from 1 species